UACGUAGGUGGCAAGCGUUGUCCGGAUUUAUUGGGUUUAAAGGGUGCGUAGGCGGUUCUAUAAGUCAGUGGUGAAAUCCGGCAGCUCAACUGUCGAUGUGCCAUUGAUACUGCAGAACUUGAGUACAGACGAGGUAGGCGGAAUUGACGGUGUAGCGGUGAAAUGCUUAGAUAUCGUCAAGAACACCGAUAGCGAAGGCAGCUUACUAGACUGUAACUGACGCUGAUGCACGAAAGUGUGGGGAUCAAACAGGAC
rnacentral:rRNA from 1 species